rnacentral:lncRNA from 1 species
GCGCCCCGCCCCAUUGGCUGCCGAGAGCCUCUCGCGGCCCUCGGGCCGGCGCGCGUGCCGAAGCGCGCACACACAGGCGGGCUCGCGCUCCCGGCCGGCUCCAAGCACCUGAGUGAGAGGAUGCGAGACCGAGGAUGCGAGCGUCGGGCUGUGGACCACCGAGCCCAGGCUCGCCCACGCGGUGACUGCGCGCGUCCACCACGUCGAACAAUUGAAUCUCGGGGAUCGCGGCCCUCGGUCGCCCACCGCUUUGGGAGUUCCCUGCGUCCUAGAAGUCUGAGGAGUUACUCCACACCGCAGAAACCGGACGGCCUGCGCCGGGGGAAUCACGAACAUCACAAGGAGGCAGAGAAGCAAGCAGAGAGGGGAGGAAGCAGGCUCCCCACUGAGCAGAGAGCCCAACGCGGGGCGCUCUCCAAAGACACUGGGAUCAUGACCUGAGCUGAAGACAGAGGCUUUAACCCACUGAGCCAUCCAGGCGCCCCUAAAUGAAUAAAAUCUUAAAAAAAAAAAAAAGUUUUGGGUUUUAUACACUUCAAGCUUUAAUCUAUCUGAAAUUUGCCUUUGUGUUGUCUGCAAAGUUGAGAUCUUAAUUUUAUUUUUUUAUGUAGAAAGUGAAUUGUUCCAACAUUAUUUAUUGCUCAUUCUUAUUUGCCAGAGAGAGAAACAAGAGAGGAACACAAGCAGGGGGAGUGGGAGAGGGAGUAUCAGGCCUCCCACUGAACAGAAGGCCUGGUGAAGGACUUGAUCCCAGAACUAUAGAUCAUGACCUGAGGUUUAAGGACUAAGAGGUUUAAGGACUAAGCCACCCAGGUACCCCAUGUACCUC